ACGCUCGACACCUACGGAGGCAGCAGUGGGGAAUAUUGCACAAUGGGGGAAACCCUGAUGCAGCGACGCCGCGUGGAGGAAGAAGGUCUUCGGAUUGUAAACUCCUGUUGUUGGGGAAAAAGAGGAUGGUACCCAAACAAGGAAGUGACGGCUAACUACGUGCCAGCAGCCGCGGUAAUCUGAGGCGGGCUGGCAAGGC
rnacentral:rRNA from 1 species